rnacentral:rRNA from 1 species
CUACGGGCUGCUCCAGUGGGGAAUAUUGCACAAUGGAGGAAACUCUGAUGCAGCAACGCCGCGUGGAGGAUGACACUUUUCGGAGCGUAAACUCCUUUUAUAUAGGAAGAAGAUGACGGUACUAUAUGAAUAAGCGCCGGCUAACUCCGUGCCAGCAGCCGCGGUAAUACGGAGGGCGCAAGCGUUACUCGGAAUCACUGGGCGUAAAGAGCGUGUAGGCGGAUUAAAAAGUCAGAAGUGAAAUCCUAUAGCUUAACUAUAGAACUGCUUCUGAAACUCUUAAUCUAGAAUAUGGGAGAGGUAGAUGGAAUUUCUGGUGUAGGGGUAAAAUCCGUAGAGAUCAGAAGGAAUACCGAUUGCGAAGGCGAUCUACUAGAACAUUAUUGACGCUGAGACGCGAAAGCGUGGGGAGCAAACAGGAUUAGAUACCCCAGUAGUC